CGGCGCUUUCCAGCUGCAGAUCCAGGCGGCAGCCCAAGUUGGCGGAUAAUUGCAGCUUUCUUUCAUUCCCCACAUGAGUUCAAAUGGCAGCAAACAAACUAGGAGAACGCAGACCUUCUGACUUGUGGGUACCCCUACUCAUCACCUGAAGACCCUUGGAAAUCAAAGCCCUGACCCAUUAAAGACGGAUGGAGACAGCAACGUACGAUCAUCACUAUUAUCUUGCUUUGCCCCAGUCCAGGUUAACCAUCUGUGGUAUUUUUAGUUGCUAAGUCCAUAUAUUCAACAUAAAUCAAUUAUAUAUCCAAUAAAAUCCCAGCACUAGUCUAAGUACUAAGGAAAUGACAGCGAAGAAAACAGACCAUACGUCUGCCCUUAUGGGAUUUAUAUUAUUUUCUCUGUACUGGUUAAACCAAGGAGCUUCUGCUCUUUUCCUUAGUCACCUGGGGGAGGCAGAAACAAAGGAGAAUAUUGAUAAACCUGGAAAUAGGGCCGGAGAGUAUCAGAGAAGGAAGCCUUCGGGAAAGUAAAGAUGUGGCAGCCAGUAUUCCCGUUAUAAAAGGAUACAACUCCGGCCUCAUAGUCCAGAAAAAUUCCCACAAGCAGGGGCUGCUCAUGCAGAUGAAGGGAAGCUGGGGGAGAAGUAAGUGCUACAUAGCCUUUCUUUUUGCACAGCCUGAGGGUCCAGAAUCCAGACUGAGGCUCUUGCUUCAUGCCAGUGCCCCUCUGCACAUUUUCCAUACAAACUCCUAAAUCCCACCCGGUUCCUUCGCCAACAUCCACUUCAAAGUAACAUCUUCCUGAGGUGAAGCCUUCACAACCCAAGACACAGGGGAAGGCAGUAAAUCUCCUGGAAGAUGUGUCCUGAUUCUCCUGGGUGUAUCCACGAGUCACUUGUCUCCGAUCCUCAGAGAGAAUUAGUUCGUGAUGAGCUGUAUCUGGAUCCAGAGUCAC
rnacentral:lncRNA from 1 species